rnacentral:rRNA from 1 species
CCUACGGGAGGCUGCAGUGGGGAAUAUUGGGCAAUGGGCGCAAGCCUGACCCAGCAACGCCGCGUGAAGGAAGAAGGCUUUCGGGUUGUAAACUUCUUUUGUCAGGGACGAAGCAAGUGACAGUACCUGCGGAAUAAGCCACGGCUAACUACGUGCCAGCAGCCGCGGUAAUACGUAGGUGGCAAGCGUUAUCCGGAUUUACUGGGUGUAAGGGAGCGUAGACGGCGCUGCAAGUCCGGAGUGAAAGCCCAGGGCUUAACCAUGGUACUGCUCUGGAAACUGUGGAGCUUGAGUGCGGGAGGGGCAGGCGGAAUGCAUGGUGUAGCGGUGAAAUGCGUAGAUAUCAGGAGGAACACCGGCGGCGAAGGCGGCCGGCUGGACCGUAACUGACGUUGAGGCUCGAAAGCGUGGGGAGCAAACAGGAUUAGAUACCCUGGUAGUC